rnacentral:rRNA from 1 species
UUUAUUGAGAGUUUGAUCCUGGCUCAGGAUGAACGCUGGCGGCGUGGAUAAGGCAUGCAAGUCGAGUGGGUUUAGACCCACGGCAAACGGGUUAGUAACGCGUAGGAACGUGCCCUCAAGUCAUGAAUAAUCCGGAGAAAUCCGGAAUAAUACAUGAUGUGCUCUACGGAGUAAAGAUUUAUCGCUUGAGGAGCGGCCUGCGUCCUAUCAGCUAGUUGGUGAGGUAAUUGCUCACCAAGGCUAUGACGGGUAGGGGGUGUGAGAGCAUGGCCCCCAACAUUGGAACUGAGACACUGUCCAAACUCCUACGGGAGGCUGCAGUCGAGAAUAUUCCACAAUGGGCGAAAGCCUGAUGGAGCGACGCCGCGUGCAGGAAGAAGGCCCUAGGGUCGUAAACUGCUUUUUUUAGGGAACAAAUUUUUGAGCUUACCUAAAGAAUAAGAGGUUACUAACUCUGUGCCAGCAGUAGCGGUAAUACAGAGACCUCGAGCGUUAUCCGGAUUUAUUGGGCGUAAAGCGUAUGUAGGCGGAUAUGUUAGUCAGGUGUCAAAUUUUCGGGCUCAACCCGGAAACUGCACUUGAAACGGCAUAUCUAGAGAGAGUAAGAGACCAGUGGAACUCAUGGUGUAGUAGUGAAAUGCGUUGAUAUCAUGAGGAACACCAAAGGCGAAGGCAUCUGGUUGGUGCUCUUCUGACGCUGAGAUACGAAAGCGUGGGUAGCGAAUGGGAUUAGAUACCCCAGUAGUCCACGCCGUAAACGCUGCAUACUAGAUGUAAGAGGUAUCGACCCCUCUUGUGUCGUAGCUAACGCGUUAAGUAUGCCGCCUGGGAAGUACGAGCGCAAGCUUAAAACUCAAAGGAAUAGACGGGGAUCCGCACAAGUGGUGGAGCAUGUGGUUUAAUUCGAUAAUAAGCGAGGCACCUCACCAGGACUUGAAAACUAGCUGCAAGCUUCAGAGAUGAAGCUGCCUUCGAGGGUGCUAGUCAGGUGCUGCAUGGUCGUCGUCAGCUCGUGCCGUAAGGUGUUCCCUUAAGUGGGGUAACGAGCGCAACCCCUGUCGUGUGUUAUAUAUGUCACACGAGACUGCCCAGACUUUAGUCAUGAAGCAUAAAGCAUGGAACAUGAAACAUUUAGUUUCUUUGUUACGUGCUAUAUGUUAUGUGUUUCAUGGUUGGAGUCUGGGAGGAAGGCGGGGAUGACGUCAGAUCAGCAUGGCCCUUUGACGUCCUGGGCGACACACGUGCUACAAUGGCCAAUACAAUGGGUUGCCAAACCGCGAGGUGGAGCUAAUCCCAAAAAAUUGGUCUCAGUUCGGAUUGGAGUCUGCAACUCGACUCCAUGAAGCCGGAAUCACUAGUAAUCGGGAAUCAGCCAUGUCCCGGUGAAUACGUUCUCGGAUCUUGUACUCACCGCCCGUCACACCAAGAGAGUUGGUAACACCCGAAGGCCCUGCCUCAAAAUAGGGACUACGGUGGGAUCGAUGAUAAGGGUGAAGUCGUAACAAGGCAUCCGUAGCGGAAGCUGUGGAUGGAUCACCUCCUUU